rnacentral:rRNA from 1 species
GAGUUUGAUCCUGGCUCAGGACGAACGCUGGCGGCGUGCUUAACACAUGCAAGUCGAGCGAGGCUCCUCCUUCGGGAGGAUGCCCUAGCGGCGAACGGGUGAGUAACACGUGGGCAACCUGCCCCUAGCACUGGGAUAACCCCGGGAAACCGGAGCUAAUACCGGAUACGACCACAGUUGGCAUCAACUUGUGGUGGAAAGAUUUAUCGGCUAGGGAUGGGCCCGCGGCCUAUCAGCUUGUUGGUGGGGUAGUGGCCCACCAAGGCGACGACGGGUAGCCGGCCUGAGAGGGCGACCGGCCACACUGGGACUGAGACACGGCCCAGACUCCUACGGGAGGCAGCAGUGGGGAAUAUUGCACAAUGGGCGAAAGCCUGAAGCAGCGACGCCGCGUGAGGGAUGAAGGCCUUCGGGUUGUAAACCUCUUUCAGUAGGGACGAAGCGACAGUGACGGUACCUACAGAAGAAGCACCGGCCAACUACGUGCCAGCAGCCGCGGUAAUACGUAGGGUGCAAGCGUUGUCCGGAAUUAUUGGGCGUAAAGAGCUCGUAGGCGGUUUGUCACGUCGGCUGUGAAAUCCCGAGGCUCAACCUCGGGUCUGCAGUCGAUACGGGCAGACUAGAGUACUGCAGGGGAGACUGGAAUUCCUGGUGUAGCGGUGGAAUGCGCAGAUAUCAGGAGGAACACCGGUGGCGAAGGCGGGUCUCUGGGCAGUAACUGACGCUGAGGAGCGAAAGCGUGGGGAGCGAACAGGAUUAGAUACCCUUGGUAGUCCACGCCGUAAACGGUGGGCGCUAGGUGUGGGGACCAUUCCACGGUCUCUGUGCCCCAGCUAACGCAUUUAACCGCCCCGCCCUGGGG